UACAGAGGUCUCAAGCGUUGUUCGGAUUCAUUGGGCGUAAAGGGUGCGUAGGUGGCGAGGUUAGUCAGGUGUGAAAUCUCGGGGCUCAACCCCGAAACUGCAUUUGAUACUGCCUUGCUAGAGUACUGGAGAGGAGAUUGGAAUUUACGGUGUAGCAGUGAAAUGCGUAGAUAUCGUAAGGAAGACCAGUGGCGAAGGCGAAUCUCUGGACAGUUACUGACACUGAGGCACGAAGGCCAGGGGAGCAAACGGG
rnacentral:rRNA from 1 species